GGGAGCCGUAUGCGUUAGUUGCGCACGUACGGUUCUGGGAGGGGCAUGCUCUCGUAACUCUCUUGAUGAAGGAAGGCGAUAGCAUGUCUACUCUAC
rfam:Salinispira pacifica strain L21-RPul-D2, complete genome.